GAUGAACGCUGGCGGCGUGCCUAAUACAUGCAAGUCGAGCGAACGGACGAGAAGCUUGCUUCUCUGAUGUUAGCGGCGGACGGGUGAGUAACACGUGGAUAACCUACCUAUAAGACUGGGAUAACUUCGGGAAACCGGAGCUAAUACCGGAUAAUAUUUUGAACCGCAUGGUUCAAAAGUGAAAGACGGUCUUGCUGUCACUUAUAGAUGGAUCCGCGCUGCAUUAGCUAGUUGGUAAGGUAACGGCUUACCAAGGCAACGAUGCAUAGCCGACCUGAGAGGGUGAUCGGCCACACUGGAACUGAGACACGGUCCAGACUCCUACGGGAGGCAGCAGUAGGGAAUCUUCCGCAAUGGGCGAAAGCCUGACGGAGCAACGCCGCGUGAGUGAUGAAGGUCUUCGGAUCGUAAAACUCUGUUAUUAGGGAAGAACAUAUGUGUAAGUAACUGUGCACAUCUUGACGGUACCUAAUCAGAAAGCCACGGCUAACUACGUGCCAGCAGCCGCGGUAAUACGUAGGUGGCAAGCGUUAUCCGGAAUUAUUGGGCGUAAAGCGCGCGUAGGCGGUUUUUUAAGUCUGAUGUGAAAGCCCACGGCUCAACCGUGGAGGGUCAUUGGAAACUGGAAAACUUGAGUGCAGAAGAGGAAAGUGGAAUUCCAUGUGUAGCGGUGAAAUGCGCAGAGAUAUGGAGGAACACCAGUGGCGAAGGCGACUUUCUGGUCUGUAACUGACGCUGAUGUGCGAAAGCGUGGGGAUCGAACAGGAUUAGAUACCCUGGUAGUCCACGCCGUAAACGAUGAGUGCUAAGUGUUAGGGGGUUUCCGCCCCUUAGUGCUGCAGCUAACGCAUUAAGCACUCCGCCUGGGGAGUACGACCGCAAGGUUGAAACUCAAAGGAAUUGACGGGGACCCGCACAAGCGGUGGAGCAUGUGGUUUAAUUCGAAGCAACGCGAAGAACCUUACCAAAUCUUGACAUCCUUUGACAACUCUAGAGAUAGAGCCUUCCCCUUCGGGGGACAAAGUGACAGGUGGUGCAUGGUUGUCGUCAGCUCGUGUCGUGAGAUGUUGGGUUAAGUCCCGCAACGAGCGCAACCCUUAAGCUUGGUUGCCAUCAUUAAGUUGGGCACUCUAAGUUGACUGCCGGUGACAAACCGGAGGAAGGUGGGGAUGACGUCAAAUCAUCAUGCCCCUUAUGAUUUGGGCUACACACGUGCUACAAUGGACAAUACAAAGGGCAGCGAAACCGCGAGGUCAAGCAAAUCCCAUAAAGUUGUUCUCAGUUCGGAUUGUAGUCUGCAACUCGACUACAUGAAGCUGGAAUCGCUAGUAAUCGUAGAUCAGCAUGCUACGGUGAAUACGUUCCCGGGUCU
rnacentral:rRNA from 1 species